GAGUUUGAUCUUGGCUCAGAUUGAACGCUGGCGGCAUGCCUUACACAUGCAAGUCGAACGGCAGCACGGGAGCUUGCUCCUGGUGGCGAGUGGCGAACGGGUGAGUAAUGCAUCGGAACGUAUCCUGGAGUGGGGGGAUAACGUAGCGAAAGUUACGCUAAUACCGCAUAUUCUGUGAGCAGGAAAGCGGGGGGACCUUCGGGCCUCGCGCUCUUGGAGCGGCCGAUGUCGGAUUAGCUAGUUGGUGAGGUAAAGGCUCACCAAGGCGACGAUCCGUAGCAGGUCUGAGAGGAUGAUCUGCCACACUGGAACUGAGACACGGUCCAGACUCCUACGGGAGGCAGCAGUGGGGAAUUUUGGACAAUGGGGGCAACCCUGAUCCAGCCAUGCCGCGUGAGUGAAGAAGGCC
rnacentral:rRNA from 1 species